AAAGCAGUCGUUCAGUGACGCAAGCGAUUUUUCAAUGCGUUUGUGCCUAAUCUUUGACUGCAAGAGAAUCAUUGUCAUAGUCAAGCGGUCCGCUAUCUGUGUAGCAUUCUGUUCAAGAUUUGACUUACAUUU
rnacentral:snoRNA from 1 species